rnacentral:rRNA from 1 species
GGCGAACGCUGGCGGCGUGCAUAACACAUGCAAGUCGAACGAUGAAGAAGAGAAUGGAGACUUCGGUCAAAGUUCGCUUCGGAUUAGUGGCAGACGGGUGAGUAACGCGUGAGCAACCUACCUCUUACAAAGGGAUAGCCAUGGGAAACCGUGAUUAAUACCAUAUGAUACAAUAACAAGGCACCUUGAGAUUGUUGAAGCUCCGGCGGUAAGGGAUGGGCUCGCGUCCCAUUAGCUAGUUGGUGAGGGUAACGGCCCACCAAGGCGACGAUGGGUAACCGGCCUGAGAGGGUGAACGGUCACACUGGAACUGAGACACGGUCCAA